rnacentral:lncRNA from 1 species
AUGAGGUGUACAAAGUCAAGGGACUUUGAUCAAACUUUGAAUACCAUUAAGGUUUUAGUCAAAGAAUGUUAAGAAUUAGGAACCGCAUCCAAAGUAUCGAAUUAUAUACUUGGCCCAGAAAGGGUUUGCAAACUCCCACAACCCAACCCUAAGUAGGAAUCAAAUUUUACAAUAAUCAAUUAAAAAAAUUUCUAACCAACCAAGCACAAAAUAACGGCACACAGCAACCAAAGCACCCAAACCAUUUCGAUUCCUUCGCAGAAAACAGCUGGAAAAAACAGGCCAACCACCCUUCUAAACGAUCAGAUCGCGAUGAAAACAGCGAGACACACACAAAGAAUGAGAGAAACGCAAAGAGAGAUGAAAAAACAGAGAGAAGAAAAGAAGAGGAAAAGAAAAAGUGGCAGAUGCUGGAGAAAUUUUUCAGGGUGACGGGAACCCCACAUCACCAUGGACGUUGGUGUACCCAUCCAAUGGGAGGAUGCCACAUUCCCCAUUAAAAAAUAUUUCUGAUUUAGUUUUUAAGAAAAUCAAUUAAACAAACACUAAACCCAAAAAGUAGAACAUCUUGACAACCGAGCUAACAUCACCAUGGAUAGCUGACAGCUGGAAUACUUCUUCAAUGAAGUUACUCCACUUGUUCUAUUUAUAAAUCCACAAGGUUUAUCUUUUAAAAAAUUAAUUAGAUAAAAACUAAAACAGAAAAAUUCAAAUACAAAUUCUCCAGGCCAUACAACCCCCACUCCAGCAAAACACGCCACCCUAAUCCUGUUGAAAUUUGGUACCACACCACCUCCCUCUCUUCCUCUUCCUUAUAGACAAACAACAACAUGCAAGAGUGGCAGAUGGAGUUCCUCCAAUUGAUAACCCGCCGAAGCUAUGUGCCGAACCCAUCUUCCUCGUCGUCAUCUUCAUCGGCUUGAUGUUCGAGUUUUUCUUUAACAGGCAAUCUUUGCUCCUUGCUGGGUUUUUUAUGAAGGGCAUGAAACUGCGAGGCGAACCAACACAGAAGUUGACUCACUGAGUUAAUAGCGGCGCGAGUUAGAGAUUGUAGUGGGAGUUGAAUGACUCAAUUUUUUUUCCAAGAAUAUGUGACCAAAAUUGAGUUCUUCUUCUCCCGUCUCUACAAAAGAAGGAUGAAAAUUUGGGAGGAAGACAGAUCGGACGCCUGGGAAGGGCGCUGUGGGUUGUUUUGGCUAGGCCAUGGAGAUGUUUUAGUUUUAGUUUAAUUGAUUUUCUUAAAAACUAAAUCAGAUGGAUUCUUUAAUGGGAAACGUGGCAUCCUCCAAUUGGAUGGGUACACCAACUGUCCAUGGUGAUGUAAGGUUCCCGUCACCCCGAAAAAUUUCUCCAGAUGCUGGAAGUGGAAGUAAAGGUGGAAGAUGUUGGAGGUGGAAGUAAAGGUGGAAGAUGUUUCCAGUAUCUUUCCUACAAAACGCAACGUGGCCAAAGCUCAACCAAAAACACCAAAAAGCACCUUUCAAACGGAAGCAACAGCUGCAAACAAAAAUGAAAAAAGGGAAAAAAUAGACAAUUUACUACACAAUCCCACCAAAGCCCAAAAACCAUUAAGGGUGGUUCGGUAUAGGAUACCAAACCAAAACCUUAGUCCCGAUUCCCAAACUAAAAUUUUCGGUAUUCCCAAUUUCAAGAUCGAUCCCAAACCAAAUUUUUGGGAAUCCCGAAAUAUUUUUGGGCUUUUCGGCUUUUAGGCUAUAAUAUUUGGUUGUGCAGUGUGCAUUAUAUGAACUCCACAGGAACUAACAUAACAUACAGGAGGACCCAAUCAAAGAAAAUAAUUGUUCUAAAAUGCAAUAUGCCACAGCAAAUGCAACUUUGUAAGGAUUGUGAAAGCAGCAAAGCGCCACCUACUAGAGGAAUGACAACUGCAUUGUAUUAGUGUAGUCUUCUUCCAUCCCCAACAUAAUCGACCCAUAGACUUCAAAUUUUAAACGUUUGUAACAAGAAAUGUAACAGCCCGUCCCUAAAAAUGGUGAUUUUAUAAUUUUAAUAUGUGAGUUAUGAAGAUGCCCUUCGAGGCAAAGUGUUGACUUGUGUUGACUAUCAAGUCGUGUCAUGUGAGACUCAUCUUCUUGGCGUAUUCUUGUUUUACUCGUCACUACGGACAUGUGGGCGCAAACGAAAUGUGAUUUGGAGCUAUAACGAAAAAGUUAUUAAUAUUUAAAGUUAAGGACAUUUUAGUAAAUUAAUUAAUUUCAUAUCUUGUUGAGGGGAAAAUUUGGAGUGCCACGUGGGUGGCCCAGAAUAAAGGAAAUGAGGAAUGGAUGGUGGGGAUGUAAAGGAAAGAAGAUAAAAGAAAAAUGAGAGGAUGUGUGUGACUAAUAGGGAGUGGAGAGAGUUAGGAUGGCCCAAUCAGAAA